GUGGCAGUGAGCCGAGAUUGCGCCGCUCCACUCCAGCCUGGUGACAGAGCAAGAUUCCAUCUCAAAAAAAAAAGAAUAGAUGGCAUUUUAAAAGUAAAUUUCCAGUCCUUAGAUCUUUGAUUCUGUGAAGUUAAGUGGCAAGACAGAUCCAUGUAUAUGUAGAACACAAGUCAUGUAAUUAAUUAAAUUAUUGUAAUAGUCUAAACAAAGUGCAAAAAUAUGUGAAAAUCCUCAGGUUGGAAAGAGUAGUGAUAGUGGAUAUAAAUCUAUAACUAGUCUUCUUGAUAAUUUUAAGUUUUUGGAUGACUUCUUGUCAUAUGUGAUUCUAGUCUUCUUACUUGAGGAUAGAAAUUAUUUAGUUUAAUGUGGUUUGAAGUAUAGAGGGCACGGGGAAGAAUGAUGAUAGAUGAAGCUCAAGAAGUAGGUAGGGACCAAAUUUUGACUUUUCUUGGGGUCAUUAAAAGCUACCAGACUGAGAGUAACAAAAUCAGAUUUUCUUUUAUGAAACCAUUCUGCCAUGGUAUGGUUUGGUAGUUUCUUAAAAUUUGUCUACAUGUACACCAAACAAGGAAAAAUGAAGCGCAUGCCCUUUGAUGCAUUUGUGUGUACAUAUGGCUGUGUGUGUAUGUACCCACUAACACAGUAUGUGUACUAAUCUUUCUAUAAAUAUUUUAGGAUUUAAAUAAAGAUGUUAUAAAUAAUUUUUAAAUGUCUUGCUAAUCACGAUGACUUCACUGCCAGUAUCUUAUUGAAUGAUAAUAUACUUUAGAAGAGUUUCAUUAGCAGUGAUAGAAAGUAUAAACCCAUAUUUCACAUAGCUUCCUUAAGAAUUUAACCUUUUUUUGACCUGAUUUCACUGUUUUUACCUCAUAGUAUAGUCAAUAAAGAGCUCAUACUAGUGAUAGCGGUAUCAGUUAUGCCUUUUUUUAAUGUUGCUAUUUGCUAGUGCUUACAUUUUUCAUAUUAUUCUCACUCUAAUUUUUUAACAAUACUUAUUUAAGCCAGUUAUUUAUUUGGUGAGUUACUUUAUUCAAAUUAGAUGACAAUAGAUAAUCUAUCCAUAAAUGAUAUAGAUACAUUUAUGGAUAGUAUAAACCACAACUUUAUGAAAUUCUCCAUGCCAAAUGGUUUUAUAGGUAACUUUAUAUACUCUUAAAGCAACAGAUAAUUCCUAUUCGUGCUUUCCUUUUUUUCUACUCUGUUUCAAAGAGUAGGAAAAAAAAAAGAAAUAUUGGUAUAACCUUGAUGCCAAAA